CCUACGGGUGGCAGCAGUGAGGAAUAUUGGUCAAUGGGCGCGAGCCUGAACCAGCCAAGUAGCGUGAAGGAUGACUGCCCUACGGGUUGUAAACUUCUUUUGUAAAGGAGUAAAGUGAGGCACGUGUGCCCUUUUGUAUGUACUUUAUGAAUAAGGAUCGGCUAACUCCGUGCCAGCAGCCGCGGUAAUACGGAGGAUGCGAGCGUUAUCCGGAUUUAUUGGGUUUAAAGGGAGCGUAGAUGGGUUGGUAAGUCAGUGGUGAAAGUUUGCGGCUCAACCGUAAAAUUGCAUUUGAUACUGGCAGUCUUGAGUACACUUGAGGUACGCGGAAUGCGUGGUGUAGCGGUGAAAUGCAUAGAUAUCACGAAGAACUCCGAUUGCGAAGGCAGCUUACUAACCUGCCACUGACAUUGAUGCUCGAAAGUGUGGGUAUCAAACAGGAUUAGAUACCCCUGUAGUC
rnacentral:rRNA from 1 species